AGGAGCAGGUAGGGGUUAGACAGUACAGACACAGGUCAUUAAGGAGCAGGUAGGGGUUAGACAGCACAGAGACAGGUCAUUAAGGAGCAGGUAGGGGUUAGACAGUACAGACAGGUCAUUAAGGAGCAGGUAGGGGUUAGACAGUACAGAGACAUGUCAUUAAGGAGCAGGUAGGGGUUAGACAGUACAGACAGGUCAUUAAGGAGCAGGUAGGGGUUAGACAGUACAGGGACAGGUCAUUAAGGAGCAGGUAGGGGUUAGACAGUACAGAGACAGGUCAUUAAGGAGCAGGUAGGGGUUAGACAGUACAGACAGGUCGUUAAGGAGCAGGUAGGGGUUAGACAGUACAGACAGGUCGUUAAGGAGCAGGUAGGGGUUAGACAGUACAGAGACAGGUCAUUAAGGAGCAGGUAGGGGUUAGACAGUACAGACAGGUCAUUAAGGAGCAGGUAGGGGUUAGACAGUACAGAGACAGGUCAUUAAGGAGCAGGUAGGGGUUAGACAGUACAGAGACAGGUCAUUAAGGAGCAGGUAGGGGUUAGACAGUACAGAGACAGGUCAUUAAGGAACAGGUAGGGGUUAGACAGUACAGACACAGGUCAUUAAGGAGCAGGUAGGGGUUAGACAGCACAGAGACAGGUCAUUAAGGAGCAGGUAGGGGUUAGACAGUACAGACAGGUCAUUAAGGAGCAGGUAGGGGUUAGACAGUACAGACAGGUCGUUAAGGAGCAGGUAGGGGUUAGACAGUACAGAGACAGGUCAUUAAGGAGCAGGUAGGGGUUAUACAGUACAGACAGGUCAUUAAGGAGCAGGUAGGGGUUAGACAGUACAGAGACAGGUCAUUAAGGAGCAGGUAGGGGUUAGACAGUACAGAGACAGGUCAUUAAGGAGCAGGUAGGGGUUAGACAGUACAGAGACAGGUCAUUAAGGAACAGGUAGGGGUUAGACAGUACAGACACAGGUCAUUAAGGAGCAGGUAGGGGUUAGACAGCACAGAGACAGGUCAUUAAGGAGCAGGUAGGGGUUAGACAGUACAGACAGGUCAUUAAGGAGCAGGUAGGGGUUAGACAGUACAGAGACAUGUCAUUAAGGAGCAGGUAGGGGUUAGACAGUACAGACAGGUCAUUAAGGAGCAGGUAGGGGUUAGACAGUACAGACAGGUCAUUAAGGAGCAGGUAGGGGUUAGACAGUACAGAGACAGGUCAUUAAGGAGCAGGUAGGGGUUGGACAGUACAGACAGGUCAUUAAGGAGCAGGUAGGGGUUAGACAGUACAGGGACAGGUCAUUAAGGAGCAGGUAGGGGUUAGACAGUACAGAGACAGGUCAUUAAGGAGCAGGUAGGGGUUAGACAGUACAGACAGGUCGUUAAGGAGCAGGUAGGGGUUAGACAGUACAGAGACAUGUCAUUAAGGAGCAGGUAGGGGUUAGACAGUACAGACAGGUCGUUAAGGAGCAGGUAGGGGUUAGACAGUACAGAGACAGGUCAUUAAGGAGCAGGUAGGGGUUAGACAGUACAGACAGGUCAUUAAGGAGCAGGUAGGGGUUAGACAGUACAGAGACAGGUCAUUAAGGAGCAGGUAGGGGUUAGACAGUACAGAGACAGGUCAUUAAGGAGCAGGUAGGGGUUAGACAGUACAGAGACAGGUCAUUAAGGAACAGGUAGGGGUUAGACAGUACAGACACAGGUCAUUAAGGAGCAGGUAGGGGUUAGACAGUACAGACAGGUCAUUAAAGAGCAGGUAGGGGUUAGACAGUACAGAGACAUGUCAUUAAGGAGCAGGUAGGGGUUAGACAGUACAGACAGGUCAUUAAGGAGCAGGUAGGGGUUAGACAGUACAGACAGGUCAUUAAGGAGCAGGUAGGGGUUAGACAGUACAGAGACAGGUCAUUAAGGAGCAGGUAGGGGUUGGACAGUACAGAGACAGGUCAUUAAGGAACAGGUAGGGGUUAGACAGUACAGAGAGAGGUCAUUAAGGAGCAGGUAGGGGUUAGACAGUACAGACAGGUCGUUAAGGAGCAGGUAGGGGUUAGACAGUACAGAGACAGGUCAUUAAGGAGCAGGUAGGGGUUAGACAGUACAGACAGGUCAUUAAGGAGCAGGUAGGGGUUAGACAGUACAGAGACAGGUCAUUAAGGAGCAGGUAGGGGUUAGACAGUACAGAGACAGGUCAUUAAGGAGCAGGUAGGGGUUAGACAGUACAGAGACAGGUCAUUAAGGAACAGGUAGGGGUUAGACAGUACAGACACAGGUCAUUAAGGAGCAGGUAGGGGUUAGACAGCACAGAGACAGGUCAUUAAG